CCCUUAGAUGUUCUGGGCCGCACGCGCGCUACACUGAUGCAUGCAACGAGUUCUAUCCUUGGCCGGAAGGCCUGGGUAAUCUGUGAACGUGCAUCGUGAUAGGGAUAGAUUAUUGCAAUUAUUAAUCUUGAACGAGGAAUUCCUAGUAAACGCAAGUCAUCAGCUUGCAUUGAUUACGUCCCUGCCCUUUGUACACACCGCCCGUCGCACCUACCGAUCGAAGGUAAUGAUGAGCCCUCAGGAUUGUGGCCUCGUCGCGUCAGCGUCUUGGCUGCGAGAAUCUGUGUAAAUCCCUACCUUUAGAGGAAGGUGAAGUCGUAACA
rnacentral:rRNA from 1 species